ensembl:lncRNA
UGGACUCCAAAUGCAACGUUUGAUGUGUUCCAAACCGUGUGAUGUCCACAUCACUGAACUGGGCCACAUUUUACAAAACCUCAGACUGCCAAGAUCCCCAUUUAUGCAAAACCUGAGUUUGCUUUUUAGUGCUUAGCAGCGCAACAAGGCUUUUCUUUCGCUUCCGCGAGCCGAGUCUGUCUGGCUAAUGCUGGAGGAGCGUUUGGGAGCCAAGGGUCCCGCAGUCACUGCUGACUUCAAAGCUGUAACCUGAGUCUCUCUGCAACUCCACAAUAAAUCAAAUAAUCCAUUCAGUGGGUGUUCAGGAGGGGACUGAGACGGGCCAAAUGCAAAGACUGAGAAAACAAGCAAGUGCAGUAGGGGAGAGAAAGAAACAGACAAACUGCAAAGAGAAAAAGAGAAGGACAACAAAAGCUAAAGGAAGAUCAGAACAAACUGAGGAAAUACCGGAGAAACAUAUAAUUUGAUAACUGCAAUUAAAUAAAGAUCAACAAGUCCAAAUGCUAUGGGUCAUCAUCAAAGACCAAUAUCCUAAGGGUUCAUGCCACAAAAGCUGGAGGCUGUAAGAGGUUAAGAAAGGACAUCUCAGCGAGGGGGAGAGUGUCCUGCUGAGCCUGCUGAAGAAUGCAAGAGGUCACCGUAGCCACCAGAUCCAGUCUGUAUCCAGAUCAGAGGGUCACUGCAGUCACCCGGAUCCAGUACGUAUCCAGACCAGAUGGUGGAUCAGCACCUAGAGAGGACCUCUACAGCCCUAAAUGUCAGUGGAGACCAGGACAACUAGAUGAGCUCCACAUACAGAUCCCCUGUAAAGACCUUGUCUCAGACGACCACCGGGACAAGACCACAGGAACAGAUGAUUCUUCUGCACAAUGUCACAUUGCUGCAGCCUGGAAUUGAACUGCUGGUUUUGUCUGGCCAGAGGAGAACUGGCCCCCCGACUGAGCCUGGUUUCUCCCAAGGUUUUUUCUCCAUUCUGUUACCGAUGGAGUUUUGGCUUCUUGCCGCUCUCGCCUCUGGCUUGCUUAGUUGAGGACACUUUAUUUACAGCGAUAUCGCUGACUUGAUUGCAAAUAAUUGCAAAGAUACUAUUUAAACUGAACUGAGCUGCAUGAUGUCAUCACUGAAUUCAAUGAUGAAUUGCCUUUAACUGACAUUUUGCAUUAUUGACACACUGUUUUCCUAAUUAAUGUUGUUCAGUUGCUUUGACA